rnacentral:rRNA from 1 species
GGGUUGUGAGGUUAAGCGACUAAGCGUACACGGUGGAUGCCCUGGCAGUCAGAGGCGAUGAAGGACGUGCUAAUCUGCGAAAAGCGUCGGUAAGGUGAUAUGAACCGUUACAGCCGGCGAUGUCCGAAUGGGGAAACCCAGUGUGAUUCGUCACACUAUCGUUAACUGAAUACAUAGGUUAACGAGGCGAACCGGGGGAACUGAAACAUCUAAGUACCCCGAGGAAAAGAAAUCAACCGAGAUUCCCCCAGUAGCGGCGAGCGAACGGGGAGCAGCCCAGAGUCUGAAUCAGCUUGUGUGUUAGUGGAACGGUCUGGAAAGUCCGACGGUACAGGGUGAUAGUCCCGUACACCAAAAUGCACAGGCUGUGAACUCGAAGAGUAGGGCGGGACACGUGGUAUCCUGUCUGAAUAUGGGGGGACCAUCCUCCAAGGCUAAAUACUCCUGACUGACCGAUAGUGAACCAGUACCGUGAGGGAAAGGCGAAAAGAACCCCGGCGAGGGGAGUGAAAAAGAACCUGAAACCGUGUACGUACAAGCAGUGGGAGCACCUUCGGGUGUGACUGCGUACCUUUUGUAUAAUGGGUCAGCGACUUAUAUUCUGUAGCAAGGUUAACCGUAUAGGGGAGCCGCAGGGAAACCGAGUCUUAACUGGGCGUUAAGUUGCAGGGUAUAGACCCGAAACCCGGUGAUCUAGCCAUGGGCAGGUUGAAGGUUGGGUAACACUAACUGGAGGACCGAACCGACUAAUGUUGAAAAAUUAGCGGAUGACUUGUGGCUGGGGGUGAAAGGCCAAUCAAACCGGGAGAUAGCUGGUUCUCCCCGAAAGCUAUUUAGGUAGCGCCUCGUGAACUCAUCUUCGGGGGUAGAGCACUGUUUCGGCUAGGGGGUCAUCCCGACUUACCAACCCGAUGCAAACUACGAAUACCGAAGAAUGUUAUCACGGGAGACACACGGCGGGUGCUAACGUCCGUCGUGAAGAGGGAAACAACCCAGACCGCCAGCUAAGGUCCCAAAGUCAUGGUUAAGUGGGAAACGAUGUGGGAAGGCACAGACAGCCAGGAUGUUGGCUUAGAAGCAGCCAUCAUUUAAAGAAAGCGUAAUAGCUCACUGGUCGAGUCGGCCUGCGCGGAAGAUGUAACGGGGCUAAACCAUGCACCGAAGCUGCGGCAGCGACACUAUGUGUUGUUGGGUAGGGGAGCGUUCUGUAAGCCUGCGAAGGUGACCUGUGAGGGUUGCUGGAGGUAUCAGAAGUGCGAAUGCUGACAUAAGUAACGAUAAAGCGGGUGAAAAGCCCGCUCGCCGGAAGACCAAGGGUUCCUGUCCAACGUUAAUCGGGGCAGGGUGAGUCGACCCCUAAGGCGAGGCCGAAAGGCGUAGUCGAUGGGAAACAGGUUAAUAUUCCUGUACUUGGUGUUACUGCGAAGGGGGGACGGAGAAGGCUAUGUUAGCCGGGCGACGGUUGUCCCGGUUUAAGCAUGUAGGCUGAUUGUCCAGGCAAAUCCGGAUAAUCAAGGCUGAGGUGUGAUGACGAGGCACUACGGUGCUGAAGUAACAAAUGCCCUGCUUCCAGGAAAAGCCUCUAAGCAUCAGGUAACAUCAAAUCGUACCCCAAACCGACACAGGUGGUCAGGUAGAGAAUACCAAGGCGCUUGAGAGAACUCGGGUGAAGGAACUAGGCAAAAUGGUGCCGUAACUUCGGGAGAAGGCACGCUGGUGUGUAGGUGAAGUCCCUGCGGAUGGAGCUGAGACCAGUCGAAGAUACCAGCUGGCUGCAACUGUUUAUUAAAAACACAGCACUGUGCAAACACGAAAGUGGACGUAUACGGUGUGACGCCUGCCCGGUGCCGGAAGGUUAAUUGAUGGGGUUAUCCGUAAGGAGAAGCUCUUGAUCGAAGCCCCGGUAAACGGCGGCCGUAACUAUAACGGUCCUAAGGUAGCGAAAUUCCUUGUCGGGUAAGUUCCGACCUGCACGAAUGGCGUAAUGAUGGCCAGGCUGUCUCCACCCGAGACUCAGUGAAAUUGAACUCGCUGUGAAGAUGCAGUGUACCCGCGGCAAGACGGAAAGACCCCGUGAACCUUUACUAUAGCUUGACACUGAACAUUGAGCCUUGAUGUGUAGGAUAGGUGGGAGGCUUUGAAGCGUGGACGCCAGUCUGCGUGGAGCCAACCUUGAAAUACCACCCUUUAAUGUUUGAUGUUCUAACGUUGGCCCCUUACCGGGGUUGCGGACAGUGUCUGGUGGGUAGUUUGACUGGGGCGGUCUCCUCCCAAAGCGUAACGGAGGAGCACGAAGGUUAGCUAAUCCUGGUCGGACAUCAGGAGGUUAGUGCAAUGGCAUAAGCUAGCUUGACUGCGAGCGUGACGGCGCGAGCAGGUGCGAAAGCAGGUCAUAGUGAUCCGGUGGUUCUGAAUGGAAGGGCCAUCGCUCAACGGAUAAAAGGUACUCCGGGGAUAACAGGCUGAUACCGCCCAAGAGUUCAUAUCGACGGCGGUGUUUGGCACCUCGAUGUCGGCUCAUCACAUCCUGGGGCUGAAGUAGGUCCCAAGGGUAUGGCUGUUCGCCAUUUAAAGUGGUACGCGAGCUGGGUUUAGAACGUCGUGAGACAGUUCGGUCCCUAUCUGCCGUGGGCGCUGGAGAAUUGAGGGGGGCUGCUCCUAGUACGAGAGGACCGGAGUGGACGCAUCACUGGUGUUCGGGUUGUCAUGCCAAUGGCACUGCCCGGUAGCUAAAUGCGGAAGAGAUAAGUGCUGAAAGCAUCUAAGCACGAAACUUGCCCCGAGAUGAGUUCUCCCUGAGACUUUAAGUCUCCUGAAGGAACGUUAAAGACGAUGACGUUGAUAGGCCGGGUGUGUAAGCGCAGCGAUGCGUUGAGCUAACCGGUACUAAUGAACCGUGAGGCUUAACCUUACAACGCCGAAG